CACUGACCGUGUAAUUGCAUGGUCUUACCCAGCAAGAGCCCAGAACCAGGGCCGCGUGAAUUAACCCUGCGUCCUCAGCACCGAGCACAGGGCACUGAACUCAGGUCACGUGCUGCAGGCUUCGCAGUAACAACCAGUUUACAGAACCGUGAAAAACCCAGUGCACAACCUCCUCCAGGGGGCGGGACGCGGUUAGAAAGGGAAACCCAGCACCAGGGCCAGGGGGUCAUGGUGUCUCACACACGGGGCGGGGCCAAGAGGGACACAGCUGUGAAUAUGUGAGACACAAGUUUAUUCUGGUGACCUUGGGGGAGGGGUGUAAAAAGGUCUGUAUGACCUUGGGGAGGUAUAAGCAGGUCUGUGUGACCUUGGGGAGGUGUAAGCAGGUCUGUGUGACCUUGGGGGGUGCAAGCAGGUCUGUGUGACCUUGGGGGUAUAAGGUCUGUGUGACCUUGGGGGUAUAAGGUCUGCAUGACCUUGGGGAGGUGUAAGCAG